AAAUUGAAGAGUUUGAUCAUGGCUCAGAUUGAACGCUGGCGGCAGGCCUAACACAUGCAAGUCGAGCGGUAGCACAGAGAGCUUGCUCUCGGGUGACGAGCGGCGGACGGGUGAGUAAUGUCUGGGAAACUGCCUGAUGGAGGGGGAUAACUACUGGAAACGGUAGCUAAUACCGCAUAACGUCGCAAGACCAAAGUGGGGGACCUUCGGGCCUCAUGCCAUCAGAUGUGCCCAGAUGGGAUUAGCUGGUAGGUGGGGUAACGGCUCACCUAGGCGACGAUCCCUAGCUGGUCUGAGAGGAUGACCAGCCACACUGGAACUGAGACACGGUCCAGACUCCUACGGGAGGCAGCAGUGGGGAAUAUUGCACAAUGGGCGCAAGCCUGAUGCAGCCAUGCCGCGUGUGUGAAGAAGGCCUUCGGGUUGUAAAGCACUUUCAGCGGGGAGGAAGGCGGUGAGGUUAAUAACCUCACCGAUUGACGUUACCCGCAGAAGAAGCACCGGCUAACUCCGUGCCAGCAGCCGCGGUAAUACGGAGGGUGCAAGCGUUAAUCGGAAUUACUGGGCGUAAAGCGCACGCAGGCGGUCUGUCAAGUCGGAUGUGAAAUCCCCGGGCUCAACCUGGGAACUGCAUUCGAAACUGGCAGGCUAGAGUCUUGUAGAGGGGGGUAGAAUUCCAGGUGUAGCGGUGAAAUGCGUAGAGAUCUGGAGGAAUACCGGUGGCGAAGGCGGCCCCCUGGACAAAGACUGACGCUCAGGUGCGAAAGCGUGGGGAGCAAACAGGAUUAGAUACCCUGGUAGUCCACGCUGUAAACGAUGUCGAUUUGGAGGUUGUGCCCUUGAGGCGUGGCUUCCGGAGCUAACGCGUUAAAUCGACCGCCUGGGGAGUACGGCCGCAAGGUUAAAACUCAAAUGAAUUGACGGGGGCCCGCACAAGCGGUGGAGCAUGUGGUUUAAUUCGAUGCAACGCGAAGAACCUUACCUGGUCUUGACAUCCACAGAACUUAGCAGAGAUGCUUUGGUGCCUUCGGGAACUGUGAGACAGGUGCUGCAUGGCUGUCGUCAGCUCGUGUUGUGAAAUGUUGGGUUAAGUCCCGCAACGAGCGCAACCCUUAUCCUUUGUUGCCAGCGGUCCGGCCGGGAACUCAAAGGAGACUGCCAGUGAUAAACUGGAGGAAGGUGGGGAUGACGUCAAGUCAUCAUGGCCCUUACGACCAGGGCUACACACGUGCUACAAUGGCAUAUACAAAGAGAAGCGACCUCGCGAGAGCAAGCGGACCUCAUAAAGUAUGUCGUAGUCCGGAUUGGAGUCUGCAACUCGACUCCAUGAAGUCGGAAUCGCUAGUAAUCGUAGAUCAGAAUGCUACGGUGAAUACGUUCCCGGGCCUUGUACACACCGCCCGUCACACCAUGGGAGUGGGUUGCAAAAGAAGUAGGUAGCUUAACCUUCGGGAGGGCGCUUACCACUUUGUGAUUCAUGACUGGGGUGAAGUCGUAACAAGGUAACCGUAGGGGAACCUGCGGUUGGAUCACCUCCUUACCUUAAAGAA
rnacentral:rRNA from 1 species